rfam:Mus musculus chromosome X, GRC primary reference assembly.
UGCCCCUGUCAAUUGGCUAAAAGACACCUUGUUGGUGGUGCUGUUCUUAUUAUCAGUCAGGAGCAAAGCAGAUGAUAGCCUUUUCGUCAUCUCAACUUGAUGGUUGGCUUGGUAGCUAAAACUCUUUUAUGCCUAGGACACAUAA